AGACGUUUCGCCGAUGGAUGGCAGGUUAAAAUCCCCCAUGACCAAAAGCCUGGGGGUAUCAACCGCCACCCCGGCUAUGACAUUGAGCAGCUCGGGCAGGGCCGUUGCCAUGUGGCAGGGAGCCAGGUACGUGAUCAACAAGCCCAUCUGCACCCCACAACUCCACUUCACAAAAAGGGACUCACAUCCGGCUAUCUAAGAGUUUUUCAGGGCUACCCACAACACUCAGAGGUUUGCAGUGCAACAGGAACUCUUGGAUGCAUUUUGGAAAGUAUUGUUCAUAAUGCGAGGCAAAGCCAUAAAACCUUCCUUUAAAAUCCUUUUUCCAUACUUCCCUCCAUCUUCCAUCAGAGAAAUGAUUGAAUAUUCCUAUCAUCAAAUAUGCAAACCAAACUAUCUCUUGGCUCUAAAUCAGACUUUCUUUUUUUUUUUUUUAAUGUUGCUUAGUUUGAAAUCUUAAGCACAUUUCCAGGAAGUUUUACUUUGCUCUAAGCUUUUAUGUGGUUUGUCUGCAGCUUAACAUACUGCAGAAACUCAGUUUGACUUGUUCAAUAGAUAACGGUUAUAGGGAUCAUGGCUUAGUGUAAUUUGUGAUCCUCUUAUCAGUUUGAACAACAACAAAUUGCAACUGAAUAAAAACGGAAGUGUUUUCCCAUGAAGUGUUUUUGAAAGCCUUGCUGUAAUAAGAAAGAGAAGCAAGAAUGUGCAAAGCCAAGACUGAUUGUAUUCUUAUUUACCAUCCAAGAUUGUGUUGAAGCAGUUUUUAAAUUUAUUUUAUACACAUUUUCUCUAAAACUUUUUCAUCUGUUGGCUCUGCUCAUCAAUAAACAGACCUUCUUUCCUAAGCA